rnacentral:rRNA from 1 species
AUGGAACAAUCAAAAAUUAUAGAUACGUUGGAGACAUAUCAGCAGGUGACAUGCUUCUUUCUUUGGGUCGAUGCUCUGGCCAAGACUCUGAUGAAUGAACUACAAUAAGAGCAUGAAGAAUGGUUGCGCAUGCUGCCACGAAUGGCAGUGGCCGCAGCACGAGCUCCGAAAGAAGAGAUGGAGGGCGAAUCACGCAUUGACAGAGAGCUAGCUGUUGAGCUUAGGAUGUUGAAGAAGAAGGUUAGGAAGCUUGAAGAUCAAGCACAAAUACCAAUACCCAUUUGCAAUUACUUUUGGGCAUUUAUAGGUAUGGUAAUCGCACUGGUUGUAAUGUUGAAAAUGUAUGGAAAGGCGUGA